GUGCUCACAUUGGUAGUACCUAUGCUAGAAUUAGAAUGAUAAAGAAAAGAUUAGCAUGGCUCCCCCACAAGAAUGACAUGCAAAUUUUUGAAGCAUUUCGUAUUAAA
rnacentral:snRNA from 1 species